UUGGAUUCUGCUCAGAAUCAACGCUGGCGGCGUGCCUAACACAUGCAAGUCGAACGAGAAAGGGACUUCGGUCCUGAGUAAAGUGGCGCACGGGUGAGUAACACGUGACUAACCUACCCUUGAGUGGGGAAUAACUAGGAGAAAUCUUAGCUAAUACCGCAUAAUACCUACGGGUCAAAGGAGCAAUUCGCUUAAGGAGGGGGUCGCGGCAGAUUAGUUAGUUGGCGGGGUAAUGGCCCACCAAGACAGUGAUCUGUAUCCGGCCUGAGAGGGCGCACGGACACACUGGAACUGAAACACGGUCCAGACUCCUACGGGAGGCAGCAGUGGGGAAUUUUGCGCAAUGGGGGAAACCCUGACGCAGCAACGCCGCGUGGAGGAUGAAGUCCCUUGGGACGUAAACUCCUUUCGAUCGGGACGAUAAUGACGGUACCGAGAGAAGAAGCCCCGGCUAACUUCGUGCCAGCAGCCGCGGUAAUACGAGGGGGGCGAGCGUUGUUCGGAAUUAUUGGGCGUAAAGGGUGCGUAGGCGGUUCGGUAAGUCUUGUGUGAAAUCUUCGGGCUCAACUCGAAGUCUGCACCAGAAACUGCCGGGCUUGAGUAUGGGAGAGGUGAGUGGAAUUUCCGGUGUAGCGGUGAAAUGCGUAGAUAUCGGAAGGAACACCUGUGGCGAAAGCGGCUCACUGGACCAUAACUGACGCUGAUGCACGAAAGCUAGGGGAGCAAACAGGAUUAGAUACCCUGGUAGUCCUAGCCCUAAACGAUGAUCGCUUGGUGUGACGGGUACCCAAUCCCGCCGUGCCGAAGCUAACGCGUAAGCGAUCCGUC
rnacentral:rRNA from 1 species